rnacentral:misc_RNA from 1 species
UUGAGUUGAGUUGAGUUGAGUUACUAUAGACACAGGAUAUUAUAAAAUCUUGUGGUUAUUCCUAGUUCAUUUUAGUAUAGGGUGUUCAGCAUAUGCUUCAUUACAUCAUCCCAAAAAGUGAUUAGACAUUCUAUAUAUUAUAUAUUGCUCCUACAAGCUGAUCCCAAAAGAACUAUCCUUCUACUUUGUACCACAUUUCUAGAAAUAUAACCUUGUUCCUGUUUUUCCACAUUUUGGGGCAAUCGACGCUAAAAGAAACCGUGAUCUUUGUAAGAAAUUAAGUUUGGAAAUUCUCAAGGUCAGAUAGGGUGUGUAGGGCAGGGACCUUUUAAUGUACGCUAAAAGAUCUUGAAUGAGAAGGCAUGUGAUUCUCCACUCUUUUACACAAGCCUUUCUCUAUUCACGAAGUCCAACUUGUUAUUUUUUAGCAUCAGAAAAUCAUUGAUUUUAGAAGAGAAAGUGCCUCAGCCUAUCUGCAAUUAUUCUUUGUUUUAACUUAAUUCUUUGUCUUUCUAGAUGUUUUUUUUUUUUUUUUU